CCUACGGCGGGCAGCAGUGGGGAAUAUUGCACAAUGGGCGCAAGCCUGAUGCAGCCAUGCCGCGUGUGUGAAGAAGGCCUUCGGGUUGUAAAGCACUUUCAGCGGGGAGGAAGGCGGUGAGGUUAAUAACCUCAUCGAUUGCCGUUACCCGCAGAAGAAGCACCGGCUAACUCCGUGCCAGCAGCCGCGGUAAUACGGAGGGUGCAAGCGUUAAUCGGAAUUACUGGGCGUAAAGCGCACGCAGGCGGUCUGUCAAGUCGGAUGUGAAAUCCCCGGGCUCAACCUGGGAACUGCAUUCGAAACUGGCAGGCUAGAGUCUUGUAGAGGGGGGCAGAAUUCCAGGUGUAGCGGUGAAAUGCGUAGAGAUCUGGAGGAAUACCGGUGGCGAAGGCGGCCCCCUGGACAAAGACUGACGCUCAGGUGCGAAAGCGUGGGGAGCAAACAGGAUUAGAUACCCUAGUAGUC
rnacentral:rRNA from 1 species